rnacentral:tRNA from 1 species
GGUAAGGUGGCCGAGAAGGCAGUGGGUUGUAGCCCCAAUCACAGAGGUUUUAGCCCUCUUCUUACCA